CUCGACCCAAAAAAAAAAAAAACAUAGCAUCUGACAGUCCUUAACUUAUGAUUGGAUGAGCAAAGACGGAAUAUACUUUGUUUUUUAGAGUAUGGUUUUCAACUGCUGUCGUGGCUGCUCUACAAUGGUCAAUUGAAAAAAAUUCGACUUGUCUUUUAUCGAAGGAGUCGAAAACGGAUUGCUUGCUUGGGAUAUUUUUGAGGGUGGUUGUCUUUAUCAAGAAAUCAUCCUGUUGAAUGACAAAACAAUUGUCAAUUUUGUUGUUCAGCACCGUUUACUUCCAUUAGAAUUUCGGUCUCUGUCCUCGUUUGUAGAAUAGGCGGGAGCGCUGCUGUGAUUUUUAUAACCUCAUUUGUAGUUGGGUGCAAGAGGAACAAUUGAUGCGCAUGCAAGUGAUAUCCACAAUCUCCAGGAACAGGUUUUGUAGGUCUCUGAUACCCCCCGUCUUGAGCAAAGCUUUCAUCCACAGAUUCAGAUUCAGCACACUUUGGUUGCCCACCAACAACAUAAAGAGGAUCACCUAACAAAGGAUGCCCUAUGAAAGAAAGAUGAAUACGUAUUUGGUGUGGCCGUCCUGACUCAAUCUCAACCUGGACCAAUGUACGGUUUCCCUGCACAUCCCUCUCAAGUGUUUCAACUUUGCUCAAUGCUGGUUUA
rnacentral:misc_RNA from 1 species